rnacentral:rRNA from 1 species
UGGGGAAUUUUGGACAAUGGGCGAAAGCCUGAUCCAGCAAUGCCGCGUGUGUGAAGAAGGCCUUCGGGUUGUAAAGCACUUUUGUCCGGAAAGAAAUCCUUGGCUCUAAUACAGUCGGGGGAUGACGGUACCGGAAGAAUAAGCACCGGCUAACUACGUGCCAGCAGCCGCGGUAAUACGUAGGGUGCAAGCGUUAAUCGGAAUUACUGGGCGUAAAGCGUGCGCAGGCGGUUUGCUAAGACCGAUGUGAAAUCCCCGGGCUCAACCUGGGAACUGCAUUGGUGACUGGCAGGCUAGAGUAUGGCAGAGGGGGGUAGAAUUCCACGUGUAGCAGUGAAAUGCGUAGAGAUGUGGAGGAAUACCGAUGGCGAAGGCAGCCCCCUGGGCCAAUACUGACGCUCAUGCACGAAAGCGUGGGGAGCAAACAGGAUUAGAUACCCCUGGUAGUCCACGCCCUAAACGAUGUCAACUAGUUGUUGGGGAUUCAUUUCCUUAGUAACGUAGCUAACGCGUGAAGUUGACCGCCUGGGGGAGUACGGUCGCAAGAUUAAAACUCAAAGGAAUUGACGGGGUCAUAGCUGUUUCCU